CCUACGGGUGGCUGCAGUCGAGAAUCUUUCGCAAUGGGCGAAAGCCUGACGGAGCAAUACCGCGUGAGGGAGGACGGCUUUUGGGUUGUAAACCUCUUUUGAUAGGGAAGAAGAACUGACGGUACCUGACGAAUCAGCAUCGGCUAACUCCGUGCCAGCAGCCGCGGUAAUACGGAGGAUGCAAGCGUUAUCCGGAAUUAUUGGGCGUAAAGCGUCCGCAGGUGGUUAAUCAAGUCUGCUGUUAAAGCGUCCAGCUUAACUGGAUAUAGGCAGUGGAAACUGGUUGACUAGAGUUUGGUAGGGGUCACGGGAAUUCCCAGUGUAGCGGUGAAAUGCGUAGAUAUUGGGAAGAACACCAGCGGCGAAAGCGCGUGACUGGGCCUGAACUGACACUCAUGGACGAAAGCUAGGGGAGCGAAAGGGAUUAGAUACCCCGGUAGUC
rnacentral:rRNA from 1 species